AGAGUUUGAUCCUGGCUCAGAAUGAACGCUGGCGGCGUGCCUAACACAUGCAAGUCGUGCGCGAAAGUAGACUUCGGUCUGCGAUUAGAGCGGCGAACGGGUGAGUAACACGUGGGUAACCUACCUGAGAGCGGGGGAUAACCCGGGGAAACCUGGACUAAUACCGCAUAUUAUCUGGAGGCAUCAGUCUCCAGAGGAAAGCUGGCCUAUGCUUGCAAGCCAGCACUUUCAGAUGGGCCCGCGGCCAAUUAGCUAGUUGGUGGGGUAAUGGCCUACCAAGGCUACGAUCGGUAGCCGGCCUGAGAGGGCGAUCGGCCACACUGGGACUGAGACACGGCCCAGACUCCUACGGGAGGCAGCAGUGGGGAAUAUUGGACAAUGGGGGCAACCCUGAUCCAGCAACGCCGCGUGGAGGAAGAAGGCUUUCGGGUCGUAAACUCCUGUCAGUUGGGACGAAAAGUUAUCGGUUAAUAUCCGGUAACUCUGACGGUACCAGCAGAGGAAGCCCCGGCUAACUCCGUGCCAGCAGCCGCGGUAAUACGGGGGGGGCAAGCGUUAUUCGGAAUUACUGGGCGUAAAGGGCGCGUAGGCGGCAAAGUAGGUCAAAGGUGAAAUCCCUCGGCUCAACCGAGGAACUGCCUUUUGAACCACUUAACUAGAGGCUGGGAGGGGAUAGUGGAAUUCCCCGUGUAGCGGUGA
rnacentral:rRNA from 1 species